rnacentral:rRNA from 1 species
ACACAUGCAAGUCGAGGGGCAGCAUGGUCUUAGCUUGCUAAGACUGAUGGCGACCGGCGCACGGGUGAGUAACACGUAUCCAACCUGCCGUCUACUCUUGGACAGCCUUCUGAAAGGAAGAUUAAUACAAGAUGGCAUCAUGAGUCCGCAUGUUCACAUGAUUAAAGGUAUUCCGGUAGACGAUGGGGAUGCGUUCCAUUAGAUAGUAGGCGGGGUAACGGCCCACCUAGUCUUCGAUGGAUAGGGGUUCUGAGAGGAAGGUCCCCCACAUUGGAACUGAGACACGGUCCAAACUCCUACGGGAGGCAGCAGUGAGGAAUAUUGGUCAAUGGGCGAGAGCCUGAACCAGCCAAGUAGCGUGAAGGAUGACUGCCCUAUGGGUUGUAAACUUCUUUUAUAAAGGAAUAAAGUCGGGUAUGUAUACCCGUUUGCAUGUACUUUAUGAAUAAGGAUCGGCUAACUCCGUGCCAGCAGCCGCGGUAAUACGGAGGAUCCGAGCGUUAUCCGGAUUUAUUGGGUUUAAAGGGAGCGUAGAUGGAUGUUUAAGUCAGUUGUGAAAGUUUGCGGCUCAACCGUAAAAUUGCAGUUGAUACUGGAUAUCUUGAGUGCAGUUGAGGCAGGCGGAAUUCGUGGUGUAGCGGUGAAAUGCUUAGAUAUCACGAAGAACUCCGAUUGCGAAGGCAGCCUGCUAAGCUGCAACUGACAUU